rnacentral:tRNA from 1 species
GCCUUAGUAGCUUAGCUUUAAAGCACCGGUUUUGUAAUCCGGAGACCGGAGGUUAAAAUCCCCCCUAUGGCC